rnacentral:lncRNA from 1 species
CCUACAAUUAUUAUUAGAGUUAAUUGUAUACAGGUCCCCGUAAAUAUAGUAAAUUACAAAUAUAUUCCUGUAAAGUUUAACUUUUAUAAAUUAUCCCUGCAAAAGUCCUAUUAUUUUCAUAUAUGUGUCCCUCUCAUUUGUUACCGUUAGAGAAUAAUACAUAAUAUGUCCUUGAAAACUUCCAAAAUAUCUAAUUUGUCCUAUUUUUUUAAAUUUCAAAUAUACCCUUCGUGGAGUUUUUCGUUAUUCAAAAAUACCCGCACUAUUAGUACUCGUUAAGUUAUCUUAGGUUAAAUCCGGAUUAAAUUUCUACUAGAAUUAAAAAAUUAAAAUAUCUCUUUUGCCCUUAAUGUAAUAAGAAAAGUUGAUGAUGGUAGAAGGGUAUGUUUGAAAAGACAAAAAUUAAAAUAUUUUUUUUGCCCCUAUCUUAAGGGCAAAUAAGAAUAGUUGGUGACAGUAGAAGGGUAAGUUUACAGAGAUCACGAUUGUCGCUAAUCGUUUAUUAACAAAAUUUUAACUCUAUGGGUAAAUUUGAAAUAAUUUGAAACGUUAAAAGAAUAUUUUUAAUAUUAGCAUUCUAAAAAAGAUAAAUUAAAAAGUCGAAAAUUUUAGCAUUCUAAAAGGGAUAAUUUCGAAAGUCGAAAAUAUUUCAUGGAUAUGUAAGCAAUU